rnacentral:rRNA from 1 species
UACGUAGGGUGCAAGCGUUAAUCGGAAUUACUGGGCGCAAAGCGUGCGCAGGCGGUUGUGCAAGACAGAUGUGAAAUCCCCGGGCUCAACCUGGGAACUGCAUUUGUGACUGCACGGCUGGAGUGCGGCAGAGGGGGAUGGAAUUCCGCGUGUAGCAGUGAAAUGCGUAGAUAUGCGGAGGAACACCGAUGGCGAAGGCAAUCCCCUGGGCCUGCACUGACGCUCAUGCACGAAAGCGUGGGGAGCAAACAGG